rnacentral:rRNA from 1 species
GAUGAACGCUGGCGGCGUGCCUAAUACAUGCAAGUCGAGCGAACGGACGAGAAGCUUGCUUCUCUGAUGUUAGCGGCGGACGGGUGAGUAACACGUGGAUAACCUACCUAUAAGACUGGGAUAACUUCGGGAAACCGGAGCUAAUACCGGAUAAUAUUUUGAACCGCAUGGUUCAAAAGUGAAAGACGGUCUUGCUGUCACUUAUAGAUGGAUCCGCGCUGCAUUAGCUAGUUGGUAAGGUAACGGCUUACCAAGGCAACGAUGCAUAGCCGACCUGAGAGGGUGAUCGGCCACACUGGAAAUGAGACACGGUCCAGACUCCUACGGGAGGCAGCAGUAGGGAAUCUUCCGCAAUGGGCGAAAGCCUGACGGAGAACCGCCGCGUGAGUGAUGAAGGUCUUCGGAUCGUAAAACUCUGUUAUUAGGGAAGAACAUAUGUGUAAGUAACUGUGCACAUCUUGACGGUACCUAAUCAGAAAGCCACGGCUAACUACGUG